GACGAACGCUGGCGGCGUGCUUAACACAUGCAAGUCGAACGGAAAGGCCCUGCUUUUGUGGGGUGCUCGAGUGGCGAACGGGUGAGUAACACGUGAGUAACCUGCCCUUGACUUUGGGAUAACUUCAGGAAACUGGGGCUAAUACCGGAUAGGUGCUCCUGCUGCAUGGUGGGGGUUGGAAAGUUUAGGCGGUUGUGGAUGGAUGCGCGGCUUAUCAGCUUGUUGGUGGGGUAGUGGCUUACCGAGGCUUUGACUGGUAGCCGGCAUGGGAGGGUGGCUGGCGACAUUGGUACUAAGAGACGGACCAGACUGCAACAGGAGGCAGCAGUGGGGAGUAUUGCACAAUCAGGGGGAGCGUGAUACGGCGAUGCCGCGUGCGUGAUGAAGGCUUACGGGUGGGAAACCGCAGUCGCCUAUGACGAAGCGGGAGUGACGGUAACGGCUAAAGAAGCACCGGCUAACUACGUG
rnacentral:rRNA from 1 species